UUCGCUAUUAGAUGAGCCUGCGUGAGAUUAGCUAGUUGUGGGGUAAAGGCUCACCAAGCGGACGAUCUCUAGCUGGUCUGAGAGGAUGAUCAGCCACACUGGGACUGAGACACGGCCCAGACUCCUACGGGAGCAGCAGUGGGGAAUAUUGGACAAUGGGCGGAACCCUGAUCCAGCCAUGCCGCGUGUGUGAAGAAGGCCUUAGGGUUGUAAAGCACUUUCAGGAGUGAGGAAGGGUNAUUGGUUAAUACCCAAUUAUUUUGACGUUAACUCCAGAAGAAGCACCGGCUAACUCUGUGCCAGCAGCCGCGGUAAUACAGAGGGUGCGAGCGUUAAUCGGAAUUACUGGGCGUAAAGCGCGCGUAGGUGGUUUGUUAAGUCGGAUGUGAAAUCCCAGGGCUCAACCUUGGAAUUGCACCCGAUACUGGCAGGCUAGAGUACGGUAGAGGGGGUGUGAAUUUCC
rnacentral:rRNA from 1 species